GUGCCGACACACACCCAUAAUGUUUUUUUGUGCUUCGUGAAAAUGUGCCCUAGGCACACCCACACAGACGCGCACACAUAGACACAUAUACAAGCAACGUUUUAUUUUAUUCUUAUGCGGCCGCAGUAUUUUCGGUCUAGAAUAUAAAUUAAAUUCCACAACAUCAGCAGAAGAAUAUGGUACAAUAACAAGAAAAAAGAACAGAUUCUUUUUAUCCUCAGCCCCUCGUCAAAUGCCCGUCUGUCUACCCACACUUUGGCCAAGAUUUUACUCUGCAUUAAUAUGAGGCGUCGUCUUGGGUUGGGGUUGGCUUGGAUUGUGCAUCCGCGGGGAGGUAAAGGCUGCUCGGCUGGCCGCCUAUAUCAAUGGCCGCCACUUGCCGCGCGAGAUUUGUGCUCUCCCUCCAACCAACGGAGCGAGCGAAAAGGAUGCACAGUGUGUGCGACCUGAGUGGCGUGUAAGAAAUAUGUACGUGUGCAUGGAUAAGCCUCAACAGAAGUACAGUGGUUGUUAAUGCUUCAAUUCGAAUUAGGUAUUUAAUUUUCGGGUCUAGCUGUUAAGCCAUAAAGGUCAGCUCCCUGGUUCGUGGUGAUUGCAAAUAUUCACAGUUUUAUCCUAUGUUUCUGCUACAGUUAUUGUAUGAAAUUAUUGCAGCCUUUAAAAUGUUGAUUAAAAUAAAUCAAAGUUACUUCAAAUUCGCAGCAGCACGACUACACAACUGUGUCAAGUUUAAUCAUUGAACAGCUGGAAAUACUUGCUCGACCUCUUGUCAUUAAAGGGGCCAAUUGGUAAUACCUUCUGCUGCUCAUUGGGCACAGAAGCUAAGAAGCAACCCUUUGCACAAGGCAGUCCGGUCUGUCCGCCUCUUAUGACAUUUGCAGGCCCUCUAAUUGCGCAUCUCUAAUGUAAUUAAGGCGCCCAAGAGCCCUCCUAAGGGGGUACGCCUGGCUGAUGCUAAUUUCGCUGCAAAAUUACUGAAAUUAAUUUAAUUCCGCUUUGCAAUUGGCAGCUCGAAAUGCUGAUUAAAAUUUCAAAUGAGCUCCGAAAAAAAAACAUGAAUGAAACGAAUACUUUUUGGAACCGCAGCCGACCAAAGUGUAAUUUACCAGCUUUGAUCGAGCCAGAGGUAUCCAUAUUUGUAGUUACCUAAUACAUACAAAAGGCCUAUUGUUUUUAAAUUAACUAUUGUACGUAUACAUUAAUAAAUUUUAAAUACAAAUCUGAAAGUCAACAGCGCAUAA